rnacentral:rRNA from 1 species
GAUGAACGCUGGCGGCGUGCCUAAUACAUGCAAGUCGAGCGAACGGACGAGAAUCUUGCUUCUCUGAUGUUAGCGGCGGACGGGUGAGUACCCGUGGUUAACCUACCUAUAAGUCGGGGUUAACUUCGGGAAACCGGAGCUAAUACCGGAUAAUAUUUUUAACCGCUUGUUUCGAAAGUGAAAUACGGUCUUGCUGGCACUGAUAGAUGGAUCCUCGCUGCAUUAGCUAGUUGGUGAGGUAACGGCUUACCAAGGCAACGAUGCAUAGCCGACGUGAGAGGGGGAUAGGCGACAUGGGAAGUGAGCCACGGUCCAGAGUACUAAGGGAGGGAGCAGUAGGGAAUGGUACGCAAUAGGCGAAAGUAUGACGGAGUAAGGCGGAGUGAGAGAUGGAGGCCCUGCGAUCGUAAUAACCUGUUAUUAGGGAAGAACAGAUGUGUAAGUAAAUGUGCACAUAUUGACGGUAACUAAUAAGAAAGCAACGGCUAACUACGUG